GUACAAAGGUAGCAUAAUCAAUAGUCUCUUAAUUGGUGACUUGUAUGAAAGAUUGGAUGAAAUAUAUACUGUCUCUAAUUAAUUUAUAGAAAUUAAUUUUUUAGUAAAAAAGCUAAAAUAAUUUUAAAAGACGAGAAGACCCUAUAGAGUUUAAUAAUUUAUUUAAUUAUAUUUAUUAUAUAAUUUUUAAAAUUAAAAUUAAAUGAAUUAUUUUGUUGGGGUGAUAGAAAAAUUAAAUUAACUUUUUUUAAUUGUUAACAUUGAUUUAUGAAUAAAUGAUCCAUUAAUAAUGAUUAAAAGAAAAAAUUACCUUAGGGAUAACAGCGUAAUUUUUUUUUUUAGUUCAAAUAGGAAAAAAAGUUUGCGACCUCGAUGUUGGAUUAA
rnacentral:rRNA from 1 species